UCUAAUAUGGCAGAAUAGUGCACUGGACUUAAACCCCAAAUAUAAAAGAAAUCUUUUUUUUAGAA
rnacentral:tRNA from 1 species